rnacentral:rRNA from 1 species
ACUCAAAUGAAUAGACGGGGGCCCGCACAAGCGGUGGAGCAUGUGGUUUAAUUCGACGCAACGCGCAGAACCUUACCAGCCCUUGACAUCCCGUGACCGGCUCAGAGAUGGGUUUUCCCCGCAAGGGGCACGGAGACAGGUGCUGCAUGGCUGUCGUCAGCUCGUGUCGUGAGAUGUUGGGUUAAGUCCCGCAACGAGCGCAACCCUUACCUUCAGUUGCCAUCAUUUAGUUGGGCACUCUGGAGGGACUGCCGGCGGCAAGCCGGAGGAAGGUGGGGAUGAGGUCAAGUCAUCAUGGCCCUUACGGGCUGGGCUACACACGUGCUACAAUGGUGGCGACAGAGGGCACAAGCGAUAGCGCAAGCUCUAGCAAAUCCUCAAAAGCCAUCUCAGUUCAGAUUGCGCUCUGCAACUCGGGCGCAUGAAGGUGGAAUCGCUAGUAAUCGCAGAACAGCAUGCUGCGGUGAAUACGUUCCCGGGCCUUGUACACACCGCCCGU